CGAAGAUUUCCUCUCGUUGACGCCAGGUAGAGUUGGCGUCGUCGUUCUCCAUGUAAACCAUUGAUGUUGGAAUUGUGGGGCGAGCCUCCACGCCUGGCGGUGGUCUUCUCGGUGCGAACAUCAUCGACCCACCAAUCUCCUCUUCGACUGAAAACACAGAGUAUUUAAAAUAAAAUGAGAAUGAAAGCCUUAAAUUUUCCGCAGUUCACCAAUACGGCAGCAGUGAGAAUAACAGAACAGACGAGAAACAGCAUCUGUAAAUAAAUUUGAUUUCAAUCUCUACUCUUCAGCACUUAUACUAUAAGUGUUGUACUUCUAUGAGUUUCAUUGGAUAAGUGUCUAUUCGGAAUAGUCUCGCUGCACUUUAUUCUCUACAGUAAUCUUACAUUAGAGUAUACGCGAGAAAUGGAGAGUGCUGCGAGAACUAGAAUGAAUAUGCCUCCCUUGAAACGUAUAGAAAGAUUGGAAAAAGAGGAAUUGGAUUUAAAA
ensembl:ncRNA H12I13.5 ncRNA